CCAAAAUAUAUUUUGCUAGUUUUGUUGGCUGGUGCGGUCAAGUGGUGAGCUGAGAUCAAAGCCCAGUUUAGGAAACAGGGUUGUUCUCCAUGUGGAUAACUCUGUGCUGAAAACAUGGAGGCAAUC
rfam:Erinaceus europaeus unplaced genomic scaffold scaffold00131, whole genome shotgun sequence